rnacentral:rRNA from 1 species
UGGGGAAUAUUGGACAAUGGGCGCAAGCCUGAUCCAGCAAUGCCGCGUGGGUGAAGACGGCCUGCGGGUUGUAAAGCCCUUUAGGCGGGGAGGAACGACGGAGCGAUAAGACCGUUCCGAAGUGACGUUACCCGCGGAAUAAGCACCGGCUAACUCCGUGCCAGCAGCCGCGGUAAUACGGAGGGUGCGAGCGUUAAUCGGAAUUACUGGGCGUAAAGCGUGCGUAGGCGGAUAGGUCAGUCAGCCGUGAAAGCCCCGGGCUUAACCUGGGAAUGGCGGUUGAGACGGCAUAUCUGGAGUGGGCUAGAGGAUCGUGGAAUUCCCGGUGUAGCGGUGAAAUGCGUAGAGAUCGGGAGGAACACCGAUGGCGAAGGCAGCGGUCUGGGGCCACACUGACGCUGAGGCACGACAGCGUGGGGAGCAAACAGG